rnacentral:rRNA from 1 species
GACGAACGCUGGCGGCGUGCUUAACACAUGCAAGUCGAACGGAAAGACCCUGCUUUUGUGGGGUGCUCGAGUGGCGAACGGGUGAGUAACACGUGAGUAACCUGCCCUUGACUUUGGGAUAACUUCAGGAAACUGGGGCUAAUACCGGAUAGGAGCUCCUGCUGCAUGGUGGGGGUUGGAAAGUUUCGGCGGUUGGGGAUGGACUCGCGGCUUAUCAGCUUGUUGGUGGGGUAGUGGCUUACCAAGGCUUUGACGGGUAGCCGGCCUGAGAGGGUGACCGGCAAAAUGGGGAAUGGGAUACGGCACAGACUCCUACGGGAGGAAGAAGUGGGGAAUAUUGCACAAUGGGCGGAAGCCGGAUGAAGAAACGCCGCGUGGGGGAUGAGGGCCUUGGGGUGGUAAACCGCUUUCGCCUGUGACGAAGCGUGAGUGAGGGUAAGGGGAAAAGAAGCACCGGCUAACUAGGU